rnacentral:tRNA from 1 species
GGGGGAUUAGCUCAGCUGGGAGAGCAUCUCCCUUACAAGGAGGGGGUCGGCGGUUCGAUCCCGUCAUCACCCACCA